UACGUAGGGACCAAGCGUUGUUCGGAUUUACUGGGCGUAAAGGGCGCGUAGGCGGCGUGUUAAGUCAGCUGUGAAAUCUCCAAGCUUAACUUGGAACGGUCAGCUGAUACUGAUGUGCUAGAGUGCAGAAGGGGCAAUCGGAAUUCUUGGUGUAGCGGUGAAAUGCGUAGAUAUCUGGAGGAACACCGGUGGCGAAGGCGGCAUCCUGGACCGACAUUGACGCUCAUGCACGAAAGCGUGGGGAUCAAACAGG
rnacentral:rRNA from 1 species